UACAGAGGGGGCAAGCGUUGUUCGGAAUUACUGGGCGUAAAGGGCGCGUAGGCGGCCUGCUAAGUCGAACGUGAAAUCCCUGGGCUCAACCCAGGAACUGCGUCCGAUACUGGUUGGCUUGAAUCGGGAGAGGGAUGUGGAAUUCCAGGUGUAGCGGUGAAAUGCGUUGAUAUCCGAAGGAACGCCGGUGGCGAAGCGACGGGCUGGAUCUCUCUGACGCUGAGGCGC
rnacentral:rRNA from 1 species